AAGAAUGUAAAUCUUAGCGUGUGGGCAUCCAGCAUUGACAUGACUUAUUCUUAAAUAUACGAUUCAAUCCACGAAUCCAGGAUAAAUUCACGAUUCUAUUACCCUGGUCAAAGAAGAAUCUUUAUGAGAUUCAUGCUCCGUCACUUGCAUCGUUGCAUCAUCGCAAGUGCAUUGCACUUCCCUCACGUUCGAUAUGAAAUUAGGAAAACAUUCCUUGUUUCUUCCCCCCAAAUCGUCGGCCGCGAGCGCGCAGCCACCUCCCGCCGCCACCACCGCUUCGGUUCAGCGAACGUUUCGACGCCAAAUAGCCGUCUCCCCCUUGGAACGCUAUCAAUUCGUCGCCAGUGGUUUGCGAAUUACUGUGCUCUCUGCUUCCCUUGUGGCUAAAUUUCUAGGUUUUUUCCCCUCCCUCAGUUUUCCAUCUCUUUCUCCUUUGAUUCGUUCGGCAGGAUGAGCCUGGAAAAGAGCUCGAGCCUCUCUUCGAUUACAGCCGUGUCCAGCCCACGGAUUUCCCCUCCUUCGAUGAUGACGAUCUGGAUUCGGUUCCAAUUUUUCCUGGGAUGAAGAGGAAGAAGACCGCCGAUCGUACACUGAGUUGCAUCUUGUUCAGAUUAGGGUUUUUUGUCGUUUUGUGGAAGUUUUGGGUCCGUUAGAUUCUUCUUUUUUUUGAUUUUUUUGAAUUUUUAGGAUGGGAAGGUGAACCAAACCGAAAGGAUGUUGUUGUUUUAGAUGAUGAUGAUAAUGAUGAGAAGGGUGGAAAGGAGAGAAAAGAUGAGGAUUGGUUGCCUCCACCACCGAGGAUCCCCAGUUCAAGAUUGGCAUUGCAAGAGGAUAAGACUCUUCGCGAACUGAGGCAAAAGGAACAUAGGAGUGGACGAUUCAACCAUCAGAUGCCCGAUUCAAGGGGAUGGGACUUUAUAGGUGGGGCUAGUUUAUUUAAAAGAUGGUAAUCUUUCAGAGAUGAAUAAGGCAAAAUUGUGCACAUAUUGGAGGGUUGAUAUCAAACUAACUGCUGGUAGUCAAAUUUGCUUAUUCCUUAAUGGAGCUUUCUCAACUUUGAGUAGCCUUGUAGUUUUCUGGACUGAUUGUUUGGUCUUUAAUAUUUAACAUUCGCAGACCUUAAAGAUCUUAGUUUAUAGUAAAACUGCAAUCUUCAUGAUAGUUAUUAUGACAAAAGAGGAUAUGCAGAAUUUUUUUAACAACUAAAUUAAAGAUCUUCUUUUCCCUUUCCUAUGUAAUUCCUUCUCCUGCAGUAUGCGGACUGUUGUGCCUAGGGUGAUUUAGUUGCUUGUAUCGUUCCCUUUUUUGGGGGAUCUGAAGAAUUUUCACACUAUAGUUCUAAGAAUUUGCACAAAUUUUUUGGAAGCUCAAUGAGUGGCUUUGUAUUUCUAAUAUCAGAUGGUCUUCAGCAAGCUAUUAAUAGUGGCUUUCAAGUAAUCAAUGAACAUUGAUUAUUGGCAUAUUUGAUUGUUGAAUCGGGAAAAUGCGAGCACCUAGAAUCAUCUUUUUCUUGUUAUCAGUAUCCGGCUUCAAUAACUAAACAGUGUUUCAAAACCUUUUAAUCAAAUUUGGUCAAAGUUGGUCAUUGAUGUGGUGGGAAUUGCAAACAUUAUAGCUGGCAAAUAUUUACAAGAAUGUAAAUAGUCCAUUUGAAGACCAUGUGAACAUCAAGCUAGAUGAACCUGCUUUCUGAAAUAGCAUUGACAAAAGUGACCUAAUCAUUUGUGAUUGAUUGAAACAGUGUGACAGUGAUCUGAAUUCAGGUUGAAGGAGAAUGAUACACCAAAUUAUAGACUGGAACCAUGACAAUAAGAAAGAAGAGACCUAUAAGAAAGAUCUUGUUCACCUAUUGAUGGCUUAAAUUCAUUUCCGUUUUUAUGUAUACAGAAAUUUCAUAGUUGAAAUACAUUAUGAAUGUUGUUGCUCAUACUAACAUCCUAUGAAGUAACAUGUCUUUAUAAACCCAACAUGGUGAAUCAUUCAACUUAAUUCAGUACUCUGGCAAGUAUAUCGUAUUAUAACCUGGGUACUGUUAGGUUUCUUACAAAACUACAAAAUUUUUGAUGAUGUGUUGCUAAAAAUUUAUGUUUCUAUUGGAGCCAUGAUAUCCUGGGUCAAAGAGAUGCCAUAGUUUUACAAUUUGAAGUGUAAGAAGUUCUAUACAAUAUUGUUGUCUUUCUUAAGUGUCAUGCGAGGGUAAGCCUUGGGAGUCACAAGUCUAAAAGAUGGAAAUAGCUUCUCUGCAUGCAAUGUAAGGCUGCGUACAUCUGACCCUCCCCAGAUCCUGCAGUGGCGAGAACCUCAUGCAUUGGAGUGCCCUUUUUUCAUAAGUAUCAUGUGUAAGUCAGAAAUACUGGUGUUAUAGACACCCCUGGCAGUACCACUUUUUAUUUUUGAGCACUGCUAAACAACCUCCAGAAUGCAUGUGGAAUGGGUGCAAUUUUUUUUCUUUUUUUCUUGUGUUUGUAUGUGUUGGUGAGGGAUUACAUGGGGGAUCGUGGUGUUUUCUGGUGCCAAAAUGCUUAUUGUGCUCUCAGCAGUUCAAAGCAGAACCAGUUGAUGCCCAUUCAGUUUACAUGCUGGGGUCCGAUCUAAAUAAGUGAGGAUGUCCAGUAGACUACCAAGAUGACAAGAUUAAAUCUUCAUUUUCCACAUCCAUACAUACAUUUGUAUAAUUUCCUUGGUAAAUCUCUGUAUUGCUAUAGGUAGUAACGGCAUGCAUCCUCUAUGUGCACCUGAACAAGCCCAAGUGACAUUCUCAGCUUAUUCAGGCUAAGAGAAGAAGAUUCCUAUUCCUACCAAAAUCCAAUUCUUCCGGACAGAUACUAUAAUAAACUUCUUGUCUAGGAGAAUCUAGCCAAACAUAACUGCCCAGAUCCCCCUUGCUGCCACUUUACUGAAGAUCUCAGAUAACCGUGGACCACCUUGCUGCCCACUUUACUUGUGGUCUCAGGUAACCAUGAACCCCCUGCUAAUCUGUUGCUCCUUCCCUCAUUCCAUUUGACUGAAUUACUUGAGAUUCCUGUGCCCAUAAGAAAUCUCGGAGCCACCUAUUAAUAGUAAUGGAACCCUGUGCAAAAUCGAAGGACAAGAUUGGAGUCAAAGGCUAGACACAUGCCCUUCAUUGCUUUGGGGGAUCCUGGUCUACUAAGAAAAAUCGUCCUGCUGUUUACAUGGUUGGGAAGCCCUGGUGCUUAUGGCUUGAACAAAACCGCUGGGUCUUCUCCAAUAAAACCAAUGAACUCUUUUGGGACUGGACUUUGUAUGCCCCUGAUAAACUUGCCAAUUCCAUUGCCUGGGUCUCUUCUCGCCCCCUUCCCCAUUUACAUCCUCUCGCUCCUCUUUCUUUUCCUCUCUGAGAAUUCUUGUACCUCCUUCAUUUUCUUAAUGAAAGCUGGGUGGGCUUUUCAGUUUUUCCCUGCCUUGCUGUGAGAGAGAAAAAGGAGAGAGAGGAGCUGCUUUAUUUCAUUGAUUCUGUAAGGAAGCUCUAAUUUGAUGUUUGAUUAUCACUAAUAACACCUUUUAUAGCAUUACUAGGAUUUGAUUAACAUAUUAGUGGAAUUAUUCUUCAAUACUAAUUAAUAUAUAAAAUCUGUAUCAUGUUUAGCUACAUAACUGAGCAUCUCUCCAAAACUCACUUGACCCUGAAGUUUUAAGUAUUCCAAUUGAUAGAGAGGAAUUCUGAAAGAGGAAAAACUUCUUUGAGGCAUCUGAGAUUUACAUUUAAUGCCUUGCAUAUGCACUUCAAGGGAUCAGCAUCCUUGUUUUUGUAGACAUUAAGUCUUUAUAUAUGGAACUAUCAAUUGGUCUCUAUGUCACGUCGUGGAUGACACUCUGGGCUCAAUUUUGAAUAAAGCUGACAGGAUGAAGACUUAAAUUUCUGCUUUCAUGUGGUGUUCUUGUAUAGAAAUUUCAGAGUAAUCUAUUUUUGUUUAUGUGAUCAUCAUUCAGCUUUUUUAAGUCUUCAGAUCUACUCUUUUGAUAGCUCGUGUUACUACAAGCAUUUUUUAAUUCUGAUGUAUCCUGCCAAAUAUGGAUGUUAGGAUCUUGUUAAUUUUUUUUUUUCCAAUACUCAAUAACUAGUCCAUAGAUUUAGGUUCCUGGUUUAUAAAAAAUAAAGUUUCCUCUAUAAUCAUCUAAGUCAAAAUAUUUAUAAUCAUUAUGUGAUUUGUUUCUAAUUUUCAGCAUUAUGUUUAAAGAAAAUAGAUAUACUUUGAUGCAACAAUAUGUAUUUCUUAAUUAUCCUUAAUGUUAUAACUGAUUAAAAUGUCCUAUUU